GAUGAAGAACGUAGCGAAAUGCGAUACUUGGUGUGAAUUGCAGAAUCCCGUGAACCAUCGAGUCUUUGAACGCAAGUUGCGCCCGAAGCCAUUAGGCCGAGGGCACGCCUGCCUGGGCGUCACACGUCGUUGCCCCCCCAUCUAAUCCUUCGGGAUUGUGGGGGGCGGAUGAUGGCCUCCCGUGCGCCUCGUCGCGCGGUUGGCAUAAAUGCCAAGUCCUCGGCGACGCACGCCACGACAAUCGGUGGUUGCGAAACCUCGGUUGCCCGUCGUGUGCGGUCGUCGCGCAUCGAGGGCUCGAAAAAAUUGCCGGGCUCCGGCUCGACUUUCAACGCGACCCCAGGUCAGGCGGGGUUACCCGCUGAAUUUAAGCAUAUCAAUAAGCGGAGGA
rnacentral:misc_RNA from 1 species